GAGGAGAGAGAAAAAUGGGAGAGUAACUAGAAGGUUCCCAGAGUUCACACCAUCUCCAUUGAUAAGCAUCUGGAAGGUUGAUUCGAUUCCGCCAUUCCUUCAUUGAUAAGCAUCAGCAAGUGGAAGCAUAUAGUGAGGUCUAUAGUGGAAGCAAGUGGAAAACCCAACCUUGUAUUACUAAUAGUUGCUAGCAAAUAGCAAUUACAUUCAACAACAUGUGAAACUUGUGCACUAUAUUUCGGUUCUCAAGUACAAGUCAUAAUGAGGUAAAAAACUACACAGCUUACUUUGUGUUAUGUUUGUCUUACUUCUGUAGCUUCUUUCUGGUACAUUAUGAAGAUCUGAGCAUUGUACAUUUCUACUCUCUUCUGCAUUUGUGCUGUUAUCUUUGUGCUGCAAACUCAAAGAACCAAAAAUAGGAAGACUUCUAUACCAGUUGAUUUUCUGUUUCUUUUAAUUCUUCUUUGAGUCUGAUUGUAUUAUGUUAAAUUUCUGGUAUAUUGCAAUUUGAAGCUAAAGGAACUCUUUUUUCAGCCUUCUUGUGGUGGGUAAAUUGUUGUUGUUGGGUUACUUGGAUAUAUCAGGUAAUGGUAGAAGAAGUUAAUCUUUGUUUGCCAGCUUUGAUUGAAUGUUCAUCUUUGACUCAUUUUUGGGCUAUUGGGAGAACUCAAGUUGGAAGUCGAACUUUUGAGACAAUUGGGUGUAACAGUUUGAUAUCUCUAUAUGGAGUACUUUGUUGCUACUUAAGAGUUUCUGUUGUUACCUAUAUGAUGUACUCUAUGCUUGCAGUGUCUUCCUUUUUCCAAGACUGUUUUCCAACAGGAGUUAUUCUAUAUAUGGUGUAAUAUUUUGUUACAUAAUAAUUUCUAUUUGUACCUA